GAGUUUGAUCGUGGCUCAGAUUGAACGCUGGCGGCAUGCCUUACACAUGCAAGUCGAACGGCAGCACGGGAGCUUGCUCCUGGUGGCGAGUGGCGAACGGGUGAGUAAUGCAUCGGAACGUAUCCUGGAGUGGGGGAUAACGUAGCGAAAGUUACGCUAAUACCGCAUAUUCUGUGAGCAGGAAAGCGGGGGACCUUCGGGCCUCGCGCUCUUGGAGCGGCCGAUGUCGGAUUAGCUAGUUGGUGAGGUAAAGGACUCACCAAGGCGACGAUCCGUAGCAGGUUUUUUUUUUUUUUUUUUC
rnacentral:rRNA from 1 species